rnacentral:lncRNA from 1 species
UGCCCCCAGCCCUGGUACACCUCGGGGUGGACCCGCACUACCUCUCCAGGAGUUAGUUCAACUGCACGAAAGGGCUUCGCGCUGAAGCCCGUCUCCCUGUGCUCACCUUCCACCCGGCCUGGUCCUGCCCCAUGUGACCUGAGGACUCUGCCACCUCCAAAAGGAAGGCAGGAGGCACAUCUUUGCAGCAAUCCCUGCCAUGUACAGCAGCUCCUGGGGCACAAGAGACGAGACCUAUGUUACCCAGGCUGUAUGUGAAUUCCUGGACUCAAGCAAUCCUCCCAUCUCAGCCUCGUGAGUAGUUGGGACAAG